rnacentral:snoRNA from 1 species
AUAAAGUGAGACCCUAUCUCAAAAAUAACACAGCUCUGCCCCAAGAUGUACAAUCCCUUUCCAGACUUAAGCUGGGCCUUGAGUCUGCACCUGCAUAUUCCUAUGACUUCUCAGAGUCCUAUGGACAAUACUGAGGAGACAAACCAUGCAGGAAACAUUC